CAGCUCCACGACUGAAAAAAGAAGAGAAAGGCCAAGGCAUCAGCUACUACAGCAACCAGAUCAACAAAGAACUUUUAGCACUUCGAGCAGCAGCGAAGAUCUGUCUACAAAAACAGAUCAAUUCAGCUUGAGAACCCAAAGCAAAAAAGUAGUACUGUCAACCUACCUACCUACCGUACUAGGCAGCAAGUGCUUCCGAGGUAAUGUUUGCUAGAGUUGACCACUCUGGAUGUUAUGUACUACUAUAGUAUUAUGAACCUAAUUACUGUCUCAGCUAGAAAGAGCCUUUGGCAUGUCCCGACACUGGGCAUCUGCUGCUUAUUAAA